rnacentral:rRNA from 1 species
CCUACGGGUGGCUGCAGUGGGGAAUAUUGGACAAUGGGCGAAAGCCUGAUCCAGCCAUGCCGCGUGUGUGAAGAAGGCCUUCGGGUUGUAUAGCACUUUCAGUGGGGAAGAAAGCCUUGGGGCUAAUACCCUCGAGGAAGGACAUCACCCACAGAAGAAGCACCGGCUAACUCCGUGCCAGCAGCCGCGGUAAUACGGAGGGUGCGAGCGUUAAUCGGAAUUACUGGGCGUAAAGCGCGCGUAGGCGGUCUGAUAAGCCGGUUGUGAAAGCCCCGGGCUCAACCUGGGAACGGCAUCCGGAACUGUCAGGCUAGAGUGCAGGAGAGGAAGGUAGAAUUCCCGGUGUAGCGGUGAAAUGCGUAGAGAUCGGGAGGAAUACCAGUGGCGAAGGCGGCCUUCUGGACUGACACUGACGCUGAGGUGCGAAAGCGUGGGUAGCAAACAGGAUUAGAUACCCCAGUAGUC